GAAACUUAAAGGAAUUGACGGAAGGGCACCACCAGGAGUGGAGCCUGCGGCUUAAUUUGACUCAACACGGGGAAACUCACCAGGUCCAGACACAAUAAGGAUUGACAGAUUGAGAGCUCUUUCUUGAUUUUGUGGGUGGUGGUGCAUGGCCGUUCUUAGUUGGUGGAGUGAUUUGUCUGCUUAAUUGCGAUAACGAACGAGACCUUAACCUACUAAAUAGUGGUGCUAGCAUUUGCUGGUUAUCCACUUCUUAGAGGGACUAUCGGUUUCAAGCCGAUGGAAGUUUGAGGCAAUAACAGGUCUGUGAUGCCCUUAGACGUUCUGGGCCGCACGCGCGCUACACUGACGGAGCCAGCGAGUCUAACCUUGGCCGAGAGGUCUUGGUAAUCUUGUGAAACUCCGUCGUGCUGGGGAUAGAGCAUUGUAAUUAUUGCUCUUCAACGAGGAAUUCCUAGUAAGCGCAAGUCAUCAGCUUGCGUUGAUUACGUCCCUGCCCUUUGUACACACCGCCCGUCGCUAGUACCGAUUGAAUGGCUUAGUGAGGCCUCAGGAUCUGCUUAGAGAAGGGGGCAACUCCAUCUCAGAGCGGAGAAUUUGGACAAACUUGGUCAUUUAGAGGAACUAAAAGUCGUAACAAGGUUUCCGUAGGUGAACCUGCGGAAGGAUCAUUAAAGAA
rnacentral:rRNA from 1 species